rnacentral:lncRNA from 1 species
AGAGGGGUUGAGUCAAGAUGGCGGCCUGGAAGUAGCUCCUGCGCGCUGCUCUCACAGGGAGGAGACAAAGGGCUGGUGAACACUGACCCUACAAGCUGAUAUCUAAGAAACCGUGUCGGACUCGAUCAAGGCAGCAAGCCGACACAGAGAACAGAGAGGAGUGCAGCUGGGCAGCAGCCUGUCUGGGAUAAACGCGGAGCCAGGAGAAGCUCCCCAACACAGGAAAGGGAUUUGAACAACUUGCAAAUACACCAUGCUGGACACACUAAGAUAAGCAAAAUCAAACUUAUCCUGAAACUGAAUAUAUAGACGUACUUUAUCUGGAGAGACUCUUGCAAGUGAUAUUGAGCACUAUGACACAUAGCGAGAAUACCAUGUGAAGAUUAAAGAAGACAUUGAGAUGCCUUAGCAGAAGUCAACAAAUGCCAAACAUUGCCAGCCCACCACCGGUAGCUAGGAAAAAGACAUGAAACUGAU